GGCGCCGUAGCUCAGCUGGUUAGAGCGCUCGACUCAUAAUCGAGAGGUCGGUGGUUCAAGUCCACCCGGCGCCACCA
rnacentral:tRNA from 1 species